UUUCGAAUCAUUUACAAUGGGCGAAAGCCUGAUGGUGCGACGCCGCGUGAGGGAUGAAGGCCUUCGGGUUGUAAACCUCUGUCACCGGGGAAGAAACGCUUCAAGUUAAUAGUUUGAAGCCUGACUUAACCCGGAGAGGAAGCAGUGGCUAACUCUGUGCCAGCAGCCGCGGUAAUACAGAGACUGCAAGCGUUAUUCGGAUUCACUGGGCGUAAAGGGUGCGCAGGCGGCCAGGUGUGUUAGGCGUGAAAGCCCGGGGCUUAACCCCGGAAUUGCACCUAAAACUACUUGGCUAGAGCAUUGGAGAGGGUAGCGGAAUUCACGGUGUAGCAGUGAAAUGCGUAGAUAUCGUGAGGAACACCAGAGGCGAAGGCGGCUACCUGGACAAUUGCUGACGCUCAGGCACGAAAGCGUGGGGAGCAAAAGG
rnacentral:rRNA from 1 species